CUCACGACCGUACCGCAAACCGACACUGGUGCGCGAGAUGAGUAUUCUAAGGCGCUUGAGAGAACUCAGGAGAAGGAACUCGGCAAAUUGACACCGUAACUUCGGAAGAAGUGUGCCUUUAGUAGGUGAACCUGUACAAGGGGAGCCCAAUGAGGUUGCAAAAAAUCGGUGGCUGCGACUGUUUAAUAAAAACACAGCACUCUGCAAACACGAAAGUGGACGUAUAGGGUGUGACGCCUGCUCGGUGCUGGAAGAUUAAAUGAUGGGGUGCAAGCUCUUGAUUGAAGUCCCAGUAAACGGCGGCCGUAACAAUAACGGUCCUAAGGUAGCGAAAUUCCUUGUCGGGUAAGUUCCGACCUGCACGAAUGGCGUAACGAUGGCCACACUGUCUCCUCCUGAGACUCAGCGAAGUUGAAAUGUUUGUGAUGAUGCAAUCUCCCCGCGGAAAGACGGAAAGACCCCAUGAACCUUUACUGUAGCUUUGUAUUGGACUUUGAACAGAUCUGUGUAGGAUAGGUGGGAGGCUUUGAAGUGUGGUCGCUAGAUCGCAUGGAGCCAACGUUGAAAUACCACCCUGGUGUGUUUGAGGUUCUAACCUAGGCCCGUAAUCCGGGUCGGGGACAGUGCAUGGUAGGCAGUUUGACUGGGGCGGUCUCCUCCCAAAGCGUAACGGAGGAGUUCGAAGGUACGCUAGGUACGGUCGGACAUCGUGCUAAUAGUGCAAUGGCAUAAGCGUGCUUAACUGCGAGACUGACAAGUCGAGCAGAUGCGAAAGCAGGACAUAGUGAUCCGGUGGUUCUGUAUGGAAGGGCCAUCGCUCAACGGAUAAAAGGUACUCUGGGGAUAACAGGCUGAUACCGCCCAAGAGUUCAUAUCGACGGCGGUGUUUGGCACCUCGAUGUCGGCUCAUCUCAUCCUUGGGCUGUAGCCGGUCCCAAGGGUAUGGCUGUUCGCCAUUUAAAGAGGUACGUGAGCUGGGUUUAAAACGUCGUGAGACAGUUUGGUCCCUAUCUUCCGUGGGCGCUGCAGAUUUGAGGAAGCCUGCUCCUAGUACGAGAGGACCGGAGUGGACACACCUCUGGUGUAUCGGUUGUCACGCCAGUGGCAUUGCCGAGUAGCUAUGUGUGGAAGAGAUAACCGCUGAAAGCAUCUAAGCGGGAAACUCGUUUCAAGAUGAGAUCUGCCGGGGCCUUGAGCCCCCUAAAGAGUCGUUCAAGACCAGGACGUUGAUAGGUCGGGUGUGGAAGCGCAGUAAUGCGUUAAGCUAACCGAUACUAAUUGCUCGUGCGGCUUGACCUG
rnacentral:rRNA from 1 species